CCCAGUGCAAUUCGUUGCACUAUCGUUAACUGAAUACAUAGGUUAACGAGGCGAACCGGGGGAACUGAAACAUCUAAGUACCCCGAGGAAAAGAAAUCAACCGAGAUUCCCCCAGUAGCGGCGAGCGAACGGGGAGCAGCCCAGAGUCUGAAUCAGCUUGUGUGUUAGUGGAACGGUCUGGAAAGUCCGACGGUACAGGGUGAUAGUCCCGUACACCAAAAUGCACAGGCUGUGAACUCGAAGAGUAGGGCGGGACACGUGGUAUCCUGUCUGAAUAUGGGGGGACCAUCCUCCAAGGCUAAAUACUCCUGACUGACCGAUAGUGAACCAGUACCGUGAGGGAAAGGCGAAAAGAACCCCGGCGAGGGGAGUGAAAAAGAACCUGAAACCGUGUACGUACAAGCAGUGGGAGCACCUUCGGGUGUGACUGCGUACCUUUUGUAUAAUGGGUCAGCGACUUAUAUUCUGUAGCAAGGUUAACCGUAUAGGGGAGCCGCAGGGAAACCGAGUCUUAACUGGGCGUUAAGUUGCAGGGUAUAGACCCGAAACCCGGUGAUCUAGCCAUGGGCAGGUUGAAGGUUGGGUAACACUAACUGGAGGACCGAACCGACUAAUGUUGAAAAAUUAGCGGAUGACUUGUGGCUGGGGGUGAAAGGCCAAUCAAACCGGGAGAUAGCUGGUUCUCCCCGAAAGCU
rnacentral:rRNA from 2 species